CGUAGGUGGCGAGCGUUGUCCGGAAUUAUUGGGCGUAAAGAGCGUGUAGGUGGGAUUAUAAGUCUUUUGUAAAAGUGCGGGGCUCAACCCCGUGAAGCGGAAGAAACUGUAGUUCUUGAGUGCAGGAGAGGAAAGCGGAAUUCCCAGUGUAGCGGUGAAAUGCGUAGAUAUUGGGAGGAACACCAGUGGCGAAGGCGGCUUUCUGGACUGUGUCUGACACUGAGGCGCGAAAGCUAGGGGAGCGAACGGGAUUAGAUACCCCGGUAGUCCUAGCCGUAAACGAUGGGUACUAGGUGUAGGAGGUAUCGACCCCUUCUGUGCCGGAGUUAACGCAAUAAGUACCCCGCCUGGGGAGUACGGCCGCAAGGUUG
rnacentral:rRNA from 1 species